GUAUGGUGCAAGCGUUAUCCGGAUUUACUGGGUGUAAAGGGAGCGUAGACGGAGUGGCAAGUCUGAUGUGAAAACCCGGGGCUCAACCCCGGGACUGCAUUGGAAACUGUCAAUCUAGAGUACCGGAGAGGUAAGCGGAAUUCCUAGUGUAGCGGUGAAAUGCGUAGAUAUGACAUAGAACACCUAUUGCGAAGGCAGCUUACUACGCCUAUAUUGACGCUGAGGCACGAAAGCGUGGGGAUCAAACAGGAUUAGAUACCCUGGUAGUCCACGCCCUAAACGAUGAUUACUCGACGUGUGCGAUAAACGGUACGCGUCUGAGCGAAAGCAUUAAGUAAUCCACCUGGGAAGU
rnacentral:rRNA from 1 species